CGAUUAGGCAGCAGUGGGGAAUAUUGGGCAAUGGGCGGAAGCCUGACCCAGCCAUGCCGCGUGCAGGAAGACGGUCCUAUGGAUUGUAAACUGCUUUUAUACGGGAAGAAACACCCCCUCGUGAGGGGACUUGACGGUACCGUAAGAAUAAGGAUCGGCUAACUCCGUGCCAGCAGCCGCGGUAAUACGGAGGAUCCAAGCGUUAUCCGGAAUCAUUGGGUUUAAAGGGUCCGUAGGCGGCCUUAUAAGUCAGUGGUGAAAUCUCCUAGCUCAACUAGGAAACUGCCAUUGAUACUGUAGGGCUUGAAUUAUUGUGAAGUAACUAGAAUAUGUAGUGUAGCGGUGAAAUGCUUAGAUAUUACAUGGAAUACCAAUUGCGAAGGCAGGUUACUAACAAUAUAUUGACGCUGAUGGACGAAAGCGUGGGUAGCGAACAGGAUUAGAUACCCUGGUAGUCCACGCCGUAAACGAUGGAUACUAGCUGUUGGGGGCAACUUCAGUGGCUAAGCGAAAGUGAUAAGUAUCCCACCUGGGGAGUACGAACGCAAGUUUGAAACUCAAAGGAAUUGACGGGGGCCCGCACAAGCGGUGGAGCAUGUGGUUUAAUUCGAUGAUACGCGAGGAACCUUACCAAGGCUUAAUGUAGAUUGGCAGGACAGGAAACUGUUUUUCUUCGGACAUUUACAAGGGCUGCAUGGUGUCGUCAGCUCGUGCCGGGAGGGGUCAGUUAAUCCUAUAACGAGCGCAACC
rnacentral:rRNA from 1 species